rnacentral:rRNA from 1 species
UACGUAGGGUGCAAGCGUUGUCCGGAAUUAUUGGGCGUAAAGAGCUCGUAGGCGGUCUGUCGCGUCGGCUGUGAAAACUCGGGGCUCAACCCCGAGCCUGCAGUCGAUACGGGCAGACUAGAGUCCGGCAGGGGAGACUGGAAUUCCUGGUGUAGCGGUGAAAUGCGCAGAUAUCAGGAGGAACACCGGUGGCGAAGGCGGGUCUCUGGGCCGAUACUGACGCUGAGGUGCGAAAGCGUGGGGAGCAAACAGG